UGUUCUUUACUUAUUUUGUACAUAAUGUUGCUGCUACCGUCUGUUACGACUGAAAAUCACAUCAGAACAGCGAUUACUCACCUGUAACUGGAUAAAGAUUUUUAUUUAACGAGUCCGACGCGAAGGAUAUACUGCUUUCUCAGGAACGGGUCAAAUUCCCGUCAUUUGCGCGAAGAAAAGACAGAGAAAAAGGGAGUGGAGGUCGGGCUGUCUUCUGAGAAUUCAAGUCGUGGCUGAACAACGACAAGGAUAAUAUAGAGGUGGCAGGAUUUUCCAUGCAUAGGCAGGACAGAGAAGCUAUGUCUGGGCAUGUUAGAGGAAGAGGUGUUUCUCCAUGUGCUGGGCUGGGAAGGGAUGUAUGGAGUACUGAUGAACAUGCCCCAGAGGGACACAGAAGCUCAGGGACUGCAGGAGAGUGUACAGAUCCUGGGACAAACCAACAGAGCGCUGAGCCUCUGAGCCACAGAGCUCCAGGACAAAGAAUGAAUUAAGCUCAUACAUUAGGUUACACUGAGGAUAACUAACAUUGUUCCAUAUACAGUAACAAUGUCUAAACAUGACCCAUCAAGCUCAUUCAAGCGAUUUAUGUUGUCUCGUCAAUAGUGAUUUAUGUAUAGCAAAAAAAAAAAAAAUGAAAACAGAAUGCAUUUGAUGACUAAAGAGAGUUGUUGAAAACAAAUCUGCCCCAUCUCCAAUGCAUAAAGGAGAGUUAGCGAAUUUUGACCAAAGGAGGGCAUCGUUGUCCUCUUUUCAAGUGAGGUGGUGUGUUAAAUGUACGUCAAGAAGGCGGCAGAAUAUCCUUUCCUGACCAGGAUUGGCCAAGCGUAAGGUGGCAGCAGAGUGGCUUGUAAACAGACAACGUGAGCUAGGCAGGUUCAGUAACACUCUUCCCCUGCUCUUCCUGACGCAGUGUCUUCCUGACACAUCAUUGAAUCAGCAGGCUCAUGGUUCCUGAUGUCUGUCUCGCUCCUCUUAUGGCCCCCUCUGUUUGCGUGGCAGUUUCUCUUUGUGCAUCUGAAAUCCCCUCACCUCUGGCAGGUUCAUUUCUAGGUCAGCCAUCUGACUGGGACAUGAAGCAAGGUAACAUGGGGACAGACUGUGAAUGAAACCUGAAUGGAUGAUUACCAGCACAGUACAUGACUCCUUUAAUUGCGGCAUGUUGUCUUGAAAAAUACAUUUAACUAAAACAACAAUCACAAAAUAUUGGUCAAAUGUAAAGAUUUAGUGAUGGACAAAGACAGAGAACGUUAGAAACAUGAUGUCUCUGAUUAUUUAAGUAUAAUGCUGCCUUUAAAUAGUAAUACUAUUGCCCAAAUAAUGGGUUAAGCAAACAAACCGUUGACCAUCUAACAUGGACACUAAUACUGACAUGCCCCUGUCAAUCUUCCUCUGCAUUUGACUGAGUUGUUCUGACAGGUAGAAGCUUGCAACAAGGCACUGCUAGGCCUCAGGGCCUGCUGUGUUUCCUAGACCAACUGAAAUACCCUGCUGACCCCACUGAUCCAUCUGGAGGCCAAGACAUUUGGGUGAUGUUGUUAUCCAUUGCGCUUCAAUUCACACACUGGGUUACUUCCCCCUGUCAUUGUGUGAGUGUGAGGGAUCCAGCAUCACCCUAACCUAUGUCGUUUGCAUGUUGUGUGGGGUGAGUGUGUGUGUGUGUGUGUGUUUGUAUGUGUGUAACUCACACGCCGUCUGAGAUGACGGGGCUUGCUCUGGGUCCUCAGUGUUGAGUGUCAUGAACAAAUGAAGCAGCCAACCAGAGGACACAAUAUGUAACUACCUCAAGCUCUUACUAGAAAUGGGUUGCCUGGAGUCACCUCUAAUGAAAGUAAAUGGAAUUGAGAGGUCCAGCGGGUUUCAACAACAACAAAAAUAUCCACAGCGAGUGGUACGUUAUUUUUGAGGUGUUAGGUCGGGAAAACAAUCAUUGCGGAAAAGCGCAAUGUUCCCUUGUUCGUGGAGACCAUAUUCACAGUAAAUGCUGCAUAUGUCAGUCAAUGGAAAUUACCUUUAAAUGGCGUAUUGUCCAGAUCUGCAAUCAGAUUGAAUCCCAGCCUUUUUUUAUGCAAAGUAAAUCAAAUCCUUGUGAUAGAAGGAACAUGGAAUAACAAAAGAGUGGAUACUGUAAGCGUAACUCAUAUUUUUCAUAUUGUUAUGGGGUAGGUAGGGGCAGAUCUGAGCCCCCCCCCUCAAAAACUGUAAUGGGAUUUACACUACCGUUUAAAAGUUUUAGAACACCUACUCAUUCAAGGGUUUUUCUUUCUUUCUUUUUUUGACUAUUUUCUACAUUGUAAAAUAACAGUGAAAACAUCAAAAUUAUGAAAUAACACAGUAGUAACCAUUUGUUAAACAAAUCAAAUCAUUAAAUCAUUUGAGAUUCUUCAAAUAGCCACCCUUUGCCUUGAUGACAGCUUUGCACACUCUUGGCAUUCUCUCAACCAGCUUCAUGAGGUUGUCACCUGGAAUGCAUUUCAAUUAACAGGUGUGAUUUCUUAAAAGUUAUUCUCUUAAUGCGUUUGAACCAAUAAUAAAGAAAAACCCAUGAAUGAGUAGGUGUGUCCAACCUUUGUCCGGUAGUGUAUAUGUAAUUUAACUGUAUAAUUGUAUGACCUUUUAAUGUGCCAUGAACACAACCAGUCAUGUUUUCAUCUGAUUGUCAAAUCACUUCAAAAAGUAGGUUAGCUCUGCAUGUUCAUACAAAAUAAUUCCAGCAUCCGAACAGUGCACUGUGAACCCGCUAACUCUCCUUCAAUUUGCAAGUGACUGAAACUAUCUCACCUGAGAAAGCAUCCGAACUAGCGAAACAACGCCCCUCUGUCUUACUAUAUGUAGCCCAUGUAUCUGAUGCUAUCUGGCCAAAAAGAGUAUGACAUGCCAUAAUAUUUUUGGCCAGACAGCAUCAGAUACAUGGGCUACACAUACAGUACAUUUCCUCUGUCUUGAUGACGAUGGCAGUAUUAGCAGCAGCAUCCGUCUUUUAACUAAAGAAAUAGAAAGUGUAUUAUCCUAGAGCAGGGUUACCCAACUGGCAGCCCGUGAUUUUAUUUGGUCCCCAAGUUUUCAGAAUUAAUUUUAAAAAAUUGUUGGACAUAAAAUACUUUAAAAAACACCAGCAAAUCAGUUCCAAGUGAUUUUAAUUUUGUAAAUCUGUUCCAAAGUAUUACCAUGCAUAAAAGAGAGAUAUGUGAUUGUAUACAAAUGUAAGCAAGUUUUGAAAUGAUGUUUUAGUCAAAUAUUAUAUCUGUUUGGGCUUCUUGCAGUCAAUUUGCAGUCUACAAAUGAUUUGUAAAUAAAAGGAAAGGGGA